UACGGAGGAUGCAAGCGUUAUCCGGAAUCAUUGGGCGUAAAGAGUCCGUAGGUGGCACUUCAAGUCGGUUGUCAAAGACCACAGCUUAACUGUGGAAAGGCAGUGGAAACUGAAGAGCUAGAGAAUGGUAGGGGCAGAGGGAAUUCCCGGUGUAGCGGUGAAAUGCGUAGAGAUCGGGAAGAACACCAGUGGCGAAAGCGCUCUGCUGGACCAUGACUGACACUGAGGGACGAAAGCUAGGGGAGCGAAUGGG
rnacentral:rRNA from 1 species